rnacentral:lncRNA from 1 species
GUUCUGGGCAUGAUUAACAAAGGGAAAACUGAGAGCAUUCCUACUGAAGCCCCUUCUCCUUUCAGCUCCCACCCAGGCGGCCUGUCCUUACGGGCCUUGCAGCGGAGACUUGAGCCACCACCUGUCCUUACAGGCCUUGGAGUGGAGACUUGAGCCACCACCUGUCAGAGGUGGAGGCUUCACAGGCACAGCCGGAGCUGAGAACCCUGGUGCCCAGUUGUCUGCGACUGAAGCUGGAUCAAGGGUUUGACUGUGGCUAUGGCUUAGCCAGGCGGGGCGUUUCCUCCGCCACCUGCAGCUUCACAGCCAACGCUGAUCCUGGGAAGCAAUGGCCCCUGCAAGAGCUGGGUUUAGAGCCUCCUGGAAUGAAGAACCCUCCCCAGCUGGAAGGUGAUGCUCUUGAAGGCUCAACUGACAACACACAUGAGCAUCAAGUCAUUGACCACAGCUAUGCCUCAAGUGUCCUAAAACUGAAGAUGAUCAAAAGAAAACUGCCAUUCAGCAAGUGGAGACUGGCAUGCAGAUUCCCUGGCCUGCAAGCUUAGGAACCUGGAUCACAGAUGAGAGUUCCCUGCUAGCCUGGAGUCAGCUGUGUCUUCAGCUCUAGAUGGGCAAUCUUAUGUCAACGUGGAUGAAGUUUCCAGAGACUCAGUGUCUGCUCCUCAUGGACUCACUUAGCUGACAUUAACUGGAGAACAUUUAUGGCAUUCCAAAGGGACUUCAGCCAAAGGUAGAUGCAGAUAGCAGGGCAGGACUUUGAACCUGC